rnacentral:lncRNA from 1 species
AAAAAAAGCGUAGAAACCUAAUUAAAAAAAGAAAUUGAUGCAAGAACUCAAUUAAAAGGAUAAAAAAUAUAGAAACCUAAUUAAAAAUUUUGUAAAAUUAUAGAGACCAACAGAAUAAUUAAACCUUUAUUAUUUUUAGUUAACACUUUAAUCAUCAGUCUAAGAAAAGAUAUAUAUACAAAGUUACAUACCAAGAGAUGAUGAUGAUGAUAACAAUCCUGUUCAUGAACCUCGCAGUCACACUCUUUGCAUCAAUCACGUUUAUAGGAAUAAAUAUCAAAGUAGUGUAGUGUUGGGCUUUUCUCUCCUUUGUGAGAUCCAAACCCAACAUUUUGAAAGUGACUCUUUGUACCCAUUGUGCCACAACCUCCUAUCCAUGAGCCAUGUGAAGCUACAAAAGUAUAAUGAUGUAGGCCAUAAUUGGCUAGGGUGAAAUUGAAAACUCCAACUUUCAUCAACCCUAAGGCUGCGUUUGUUUGUAGAGACAGGACAGAACAUGACACUGAAACGGAGACAAUAGGACGGAGACACUAAAAAUUAUCUUUUGUGUAUUGUGUUUGGAUACGAUGGACAAG